UACGGAGGGUGCAAGCGUUAUCCGGAUUUACUGGGUUUAAAGGGUGCGUAGGUGGGCAGGUAAGUCAGUGGUGAAAUCUUCAAGCUUAACUUGGAAACUGCCAUUGAUACUAUUUGUCUUGAAUAUCCUGGAGGUAAGCGGAAUAUGUCAUGUAGCGGUGAAAUGCUUAGAUAUGACAUAGAACACCCAUUGCGAAGGCAGCUUACUACGGGAUUCUUGACACUGAGGCACGAAAGCGUGGGGAUCAAACAGG
rnacentral:rRNA from 1 species